AAGCUCGUAGUUGAAUUUCGGGUUAGUAGGUUGGUCAUGCCUCUGGUAUGUACUGGUCUCACUGAUUCCUCCUUCCUGAUGAACCGUAAUGCCAUUAAUUUGGUGUUGCGGGGAAUUUGGACUGUUACUUUGAAAAAAUUAGAGUGUUUAAAGCAAGCUAACGCUCGAAUACAUUAGCAUGGAAUAAUGAAAUAGGACGUUCGAUCCUAUUUUGUUUGGUUUCUUAGGAUUGACGUAAUGAUUAAUAGGGAUAGUUGGG
rnacentral:rRNA from 1 species